CAAAGGAAAAAUUCCAAACCAUGCGAUAAAUAAAAAGAAACACAUGUGGUUUCACGAAUUCUUUUUAACGAUAUUCAGUUAACAUAAUUACGUUUUUUUAAUAUGUCACAACAUUUAAAUGGAUAUAUUUGGUAAACAAAGUUUUAUUUUGUAUUUAAAUGUGUAGCUAGUUUGACAAAGCUUGAUUGAACACGAUUCCUUGUUGAUUAAUUAACCAAUAACUCAACAAAUAAGGCAUUAACGGCUAUAGAAACAAAAAAACAAAACAAA